UGCCAGCCGCCGCGGUAAUACGAAUGGGGCAAGCGUUGUUCGGAAUAACUGGGCUUAAAGCGUGCGUAGGCGGAUAUGCAAGUCAGAAGUGAAAUCCCGAGGCUCAACCUCGGAACUGCUUUUGAAACUGCAUAUCUUGAAUCCGGUAGAGGUCAGGGGAAUUCCGAGUGUAGCAGUGAAAUGCGCAGAUAUUCGGAGGAACACCAGUGGCGUAGGCGCCUGACUGGGCCGGUAUUGACGCUGAGGUACGAAAGCGUGGGGAGCAAACAGGAUUAGAUA
rnacentral:rRNA from 1 species